GGGAGGAGGGUCGGGGU
rnacentral:miRNA from 1 species